AGGUGGAGGAGAGAGCAUGCUGGGAAGCGUGGCCUGCAGAUCCUGGCCUGGAAGGCAGGGGGAGGUGGGCUGGGACAGGAAACCUCCUGGCACCAGCUUGGUGGCUCUGGGACGAAGAAGUGGCUGCAGAGACAGAGCUGAGCCACUGAGCCUUGAGCUGGGAAGAAGGCUCAGCCCUUCUCCUCCCCAAGCCCCUACUCGCUCCCAACAGAACCUCCUGAACCUCCUGCCGCCUGGAAAAGCCACAGCUGCUGCCAACAGGAGGGACAGGGCACGCCCAGCCCAGUCGCCCAAGAAGUUACCUUCAGGGAGAUUUUUUUUUUUAAGAUUUUAUUUAUUCAUGAGAGAUGCACAGAGAGAAGCAGAGACACAGGCAGAGGGAGAAGCAGGCUCCCUGCGGGGAGCCCGAUGUGGGACUCGAUCCCGGGACUCCAGGAUCACGCCCUGGGCCAAAGGCAGGCGCUCAACCGCUGAGCCCCCUGGAUGUCCCCACCUUGAGGAAGAGUAACAGGAAACCAGCAGCCCCGGAGCCAGAGCGCCUUCGUGCUUGCUUCCUGGGCCCUGGGUCACCUCCAGUUUCAAUCUGACGACAAAGGGCGGAUCCCUGGCAGCCCACAGCCAGCCCACCCGCAGGGCCUCCUCUAGAGGGCACCUGGCCUCUUCCCCCUGCCCCAGGCUCUUUCCAGAACCUCUCCGCUCACCGUGAGAGCGGCCGACAGAGAGCGGGGAAGCUGAGGCUCCCAGGCCAGGCCUCAAGCAAAGGAAGACGGCUUUGUCCUUCAGCCCUCUGUCCGCUGCAGAGGUGCAGACCUGCCCAGUGCAAGUCUGUUUCAUGAAGUUCUACUGGAUGCGGCCCUGGGAGAGAGAACCUAACACAUUUCCAGGAAAACGCAUUAGAGCUGGUGAAACUGUUGUUUUUAGAGUCCAAGGACAAGUCAUUGCAAGAGUUGACAGAGUAAUCAAAGUUCACCGGGUGGAUUAUGGAGACAGCAAAGGUCUGACUCAAGGGGACACUAAUGAAGCUGCCGAGAGAAGCUUGUGCAAACAGGACCAGGCCGGGCUCGGACAGGGGGACACGACCGGAGGAGCCACAGGGUUUUGUCGCGUGUUGCUGCGUCCCAGUGAAAACGAGUGACUGUCUGGAGCUCCAGCGCUUGGUUUUGGCUGUCACAGGUGCACGUGUACUGCUAAAAACAUGAAUCUGAAAAUAAGGAAGAGUUCCUGGGACCCGACUGAAAUGAGUUCUGUUGAAAAAGAGAAAAACUGAGACUGGUCUUUGGUGAAAUCAUCAAGCUGCUGGAUCAAGUCUUUCUGAGUUAUCUGAGUCCAUCAAGCCUCAGAGCUGCUUCAGCCAGUGGGAGGACAGUCUUGUUAGUGCCACCAAAGGCUCCUGAAGAUUCUGUGCCCGCCGUGAAGCAUCCCUAAGCACUGCAGCCACUCGGGAAGGGCUCCUCUGGGCUGCUCUAAGCUACGAUGGCUUCCACCUGGUCCCGUGCUGGAGACGUGCUCCCGAGUACUCCAGACUAUUUUUUUAGAGCAGUUCACAACCAAACGGAGUGGAGGUACAGAGUUCCCAUGUCUCCCCCGCGCCCCCCCAGCCUCUCCCACCAGCAGCAGCCCCAUGAAGUGGGACACGUAUCCUAACACCGAACACACAUCGCCACGUCACUCUCACCCAAGUCUGCAGUUUACACAAGGACUCACUCUAGGAAUGUGCGUUUAAGGUCUCCCCGUGGCCUUCUGUGGCUUGCCAGCCCGCUUCUCAGCACUGCAUAAUGUCCCAUCGGUGGAUGGACCCACUGUUUACCAUCCAGUCACCUUCUGAAGUAUGUCCUGGCUGCUUCCAAGUUGUGGCCAUUAUGUGCGAUAAACACCAUGGUAUAGGUUUUGUGUAGACACAGGUUUUCAACCCCUUUGGGUAAGCACCAAGAAGCAAGAUGGCUGGGUCAUACGGUAAGAGCGUGUUUAGUUUUGCAGGAAAGUGCCAGACUGACUUCCGAAGUGACUGUACCAUGUUUCAUCCUCAUCAGCAAGGAAGGAGCGGUCCCCUUUGCUGCACAUCCUCGCCAGCACUCGGCGUUCUCAGCGUUCCGGAUUUUGGCCGCCCUAAUAUAUUAGGAAUCCUGCCUCCACUGUAUUGUGAGAUGUCUGCGACAAAGGGCACAUGUAGAUUCUACUGUCAACAGCCUCAUGUGCACUCCCAGGCCACGGCAUGUACUGCCAGCCCUGGAAGUGAGCCCUCGUGGAUGUAGCUCAUUCAAGCCUUCAGGUGACUCCAGGCCCAGCUGCCACUUGACUGCAAAUUCCUAAGGGACUCUAAAUGAGAACGGCCUGGCUGAGCACAAUAAACUCACAAAAUUAUGAGUGAUAACAAUAAACGUUUGCUCUAAGUCAUUACAUUUUAGGAUAGCUUGUUACAUCAAGAAAUAAUCAGACAACUUCUAAUGUAUGAGUCCGGAGACCCAGAAAAGAAUGGGUGCUACCAGCUUUGGGAUGAUAAAGGAAAACAUUAAGGUACCAUAAACCAAAGAAGAUAGACAAGUACCUGUCACAUAGUAGACAUGCAGUAAACAGGUGCAGAAUGAACAAGCAAGUGAAUAAAUGAAAGUAACCAUGGCAAGAACAGAUUGCUCCUCUUUCCUGGGUUAACAAAGGUCUGGCUCUCUCAGCUACCAGGAAACAAGGCUGUGUCCCCAACCAGCCAUGAUGGAGGGGUGUGCUUGGGGACCCGUCCUAUCUUCCCACUCUAAAAAAUGAAAGAAGCUUCCUCCUCAG